AAGGAAGAGCUUGCAAGCAGAUUCAAGCAAAACGAGAUUGGAGAAUGAUGAUGCUCAACCGCCAUGCUUUCCGGUGAACAAAUCACGAAUGGAACUAACCUUUUUAAUCAGCUUCUGAUGAUGAAAUGUGGAAGCCAAGUACAACGUGGUAGAAGCCUGGGACAUCACUCCCAAAAACUUGAAUACUUUGAGGCUGUUGAAGGGGUUCUAAAGAUCAAGGACAGAUACAAUCCUGCAACGUGAAUGCUUGGAGAUGGACAUUCACAUUGAAGUACCUUAUUGCACAAAAAUAUUAAUUUUAUAAUUAUUGCACGAUGUCAACUAAAUAAAAUUUAUAAAAUCA